CACCUAACACAAUCAAAACACUUAAAAUUUUCAUCCUUAUUCAUAUUUUCUUUUAACAGAUAAACAUUUUCAAUCCCAGAGAGACAUGCUAUUCAGAAAUAAUAUUUCCUAUAAUAAGGUAUGUCGUCUCAAUGCAUCAAAAUCAAGGGAUGACGCUGCUAAUCAAAUCAACUAAUCUUUCACAGUAAAGACAUUACAAUAUGUCAAACAUGAGAGGUGAUGCUCCUCUAACCCUUGUGCAUAAAGACAGAACUCAUGCUUGGCGACGGCAAAACGUUAAUUGGAAUUCUUCAUACAGAACAACAUCUUCAUACGUUAGAAAUUCAUGACUGGAUUCCAUUGCCGAGUGAUUUAUUGGAAAAAAAAAAAACUUAAUGGAAAGUGCCUAAUUUCCUUCCUUCUGAUAGGUGCUUUUUUUGUUAGCUUUUUAUUUUCAGAAAAUUUCUCAGGUUUCUGAAUAAAUUUCAUUGAGCCAGCUAUUCGAAACCUGUAAUAUCACAAUUUACCUAAUUCAGCAUUAUGCACAUUAAUGUGUUCAUGUUAGCCUUUUUAACAUUUUAAACCCCUUGCAUCUUGAAAUGGAACUUUGGUGAGGAAAAUGUUUGAAUACGUUGUUGUAUAGGUAAAUUCAUUGGAUAUCCAUAAGCCACACAGUUCAAUGUAUUCUGAUAAGAGAGAUUAUGGCUCAAUUUUAAAUGCAUUCAACUAAGAUGGUUGAAUCUGACAAUGCAAUUUGUCUUUUAUGCAUAAAACCUUUGAUGGUGAUCUAUUCAACGUUAUACCAAUCAAACUCACAAAACUAAGAAAGUUUUCCUUUUCUUUU